CUAUUCAUUUUAUACUUUCAGACAGAUUUUUCCCUGGGGUGAAACAAAGGUUAACUGAAAUUUCCUCUGUUGUAUACCUGAACGAAUCAGCAGUUUGAGAAGGAAAUCCCAUUGAUGGGCCAAGAGAGUGACAGGCUCUAUUUAAAGAAUUCCCCCGACUGUGUGGUAGACCAGCCAUGCCAUGAAUUUAACUGUUCCUGUGGUCCCCAUACUUGUACCCACCAAAAAAGAGAGAGAGAGAGAAAGCGACUUUGUUCUGCAAACGUAGCCCUAAGCUUUGAAAAUCACGAGCCAUUGAGUUUUGUGAAUUCAAGUUAGACAGCAACAGAGGCCAAGACUCUAGGGGAACAAUAUCUGAAAGGGAGUACACAAAACCAGGUAGAAACUGUUUAACUGUUUUAUUUCUCUGUGUGUAUACAGAUUUAUGUGUGUUUAUACACACACCCCAAAAAAACCUGUACCUUUUUCUCAUUUUUACGUAGCGCGUCCUAAUUAUAUUUAAGCGAUGAUGUUUGUUAAAUUUUGAAAUCUGUUAAUUUGGGGGGAGGGGGUUUAUAGCCUUUUUUGCUCCAUUAAAGUGUUUAGGUUUUAGUAGGACAUAUCAUAAGUUUUGGAAAUGAAAGUAAACACAGUAUAUGGUUAAAGGGUUUUUUGAAGAAAUUGGGCCUUUGCAUUACCUCUGUAGGAGCUUUACUGUCAGAGCCAGCUCAUGUAUUUUGUAUUUUUCCUGUUUAAGGGAAGCUGCUUUAAAUAUGAAAAGAUGGUAUCUUUAGUUGGAUUAAACACCCUUAAUUCAUGUGUAUUUAACCUCAGGACUUGUGAGCCUUGUUGAAAAUCCAGCUUUAACUCUGGCUAGUAGGCCUCAAUAGUGCACACAGCAUGGAGAUUAUAAAUAGUCAGUCUUUCUAAGGUGGAGGUUAGUGUGUAUUCCCAGAGGGCAUGAACUGUUUAUGUUUCUGAAAAUAUUUUCAUAUAUGUUGUUAAUAUUUAAAUAUUAAGAUUUAUUUUAAUACCUUCAUUUGUUACUUGAAGUUUUUGUUAUCAAAAGAUUCUUAAGUGUAUACUUCUCUAGUGUGGAUGGGAACUUAAUGGAAAUUUUGUAAAACACUAAGAUUCAUAGAGAAAAUAAUUCAGAGAGAUUGGUUUCUCUCUGAGAGUUAAAAGGAGCAGGUACCAUUUGAAUUGGUUCCUGGGGGCGGGGAAAGUAGGAAUUUAUAUAGUGGCUGUAUUCAUGCUCACAAAUGAGAAACUGAAGUCUAGAGAGUUAAAUUGAUUAGGACAAAAUUAUUCAGUAUGUUUUGGAAGAACCUAGGUCUCCAUUCAUGUCUGGUAUUUCCUUGCACAAUAAACUGCCUCUCUUUUAUCCUGCGAUGGGAAUUUUAAAAAACAUUUCUCUCUUGUCAGUUAUACCUCAGUAAAGCUGGGGGAAGAAUCAUUCUUUCCCAUUUUUUUUUUUCUGCUAUUUUCUAACAUUUUCUUGUCUUUUCCACUUUUUUCCAUUCCUUCUCUUUUCUUCUUCCUCUCUUAUUUUUCAAUAUUGGUCCUACUACAAAUAGGUUGUAGCAUUGUAAAUUAAGAGCAGGAUUUGGGGGAACAGCUCUGAACAGAUAUUCCGUGUGAUCUGUAAAGGUCACAUUGUUCUUUUUGGAUGUUACUUUUUAGAAACCAAAAUCAUUCGUAGCUAUUUAAGCAAUCUAUGAAUCAAUCAAAUACUCAUUAGUUAUGCUUAUGUAAGUAGAAGUACAUGCUAAUCAAUGCCAUGAAUAGAUGCCAGCUGAUUUUUAAAGAUCAAUAAAAACAAUUGACAUCUUUUUUAGGACAUCACUUGGUUCUUCCAGUUGCAUUCAUUAAAUAAUAUUUAUUGACCUUCUGCUAUGUGCCAAACAUCAUGCAAGGCAAUAGAGAUAUAACGGAGAAUAAGAAGGAAAUGCCCCCUUCAUGCCCCUUUAAUAGAUGAGAGUUGACCACGACUAGAAAGUUGAAACAUUAUUUCUCUAAAACUUCAUGGAGGACCAGCAUUGCUCUUCAGAUAUUCCUGUCAGAAUAUAAUCCUGUUUUGAUCCCCGGCCUGGCACGGUGAGCUAAGGAUCCAGCAGUUGUGGUGUAGGUUGCAGCUGCGGCUCUGAUUCAGUCCCUGGCCUGGGAACUUCCAUGUGCUGUGGAUGAGGCCAAAAAAAAGAAUAAAAAGUGGAAAAGUAUAAUUUGAAAUUCAAUAAGUAGUUUUCACAUUAUCAAUUGCCAUGUGCUACAUGAUAAAAUGAUAAUAUUGUGGAGAUUUUCAAUAACAACUUUAUUAUUAGACAAAGCCAGAGACUAUUCAUCAAAAUAACUUAGGAAGAUGAAAAGAGCAUGUUGGUUAAGAGCAUGGUUUGGAAGUGAGCCUCCAGUCUGCCACUUAUAAAUGUUGUGGCACUAAACAAAUUAUUUAAACAUUCACAUAAAUCUCACCUUUUUUUCACUUGUGAAGUGAAAAUAAUAACUGCCUUUAUAGGAUUGUUGUGAGGGUUAAAUUAGAAAAAUGCGUAAAAUGCUUAACAUAGUACCUAGCACAGAAUAAGCUCUUUAUAUGUACUAGCUGUUAUUCUGUAUUUUUAUUUUUUGGCAUUGCUAGGCUUUUUAUUUAUUUUUUUUUAUUAUAGUUGAUUUACAUGUUCUGUCCAUUUUUACUGUGAAGUAACCCAGUUAUACAUACAUACAUAUUCUUUUUCUCACAUUAUCCCCCAACAUAUUCCAUCACAAGUGAUUAAAUAUAGUUCCCUGGGCUAUACAUCAGGAUCUCAUUGCUUCUCCACUUAUGUUGUGUAUUUUUAAAAUAUAAUCUGGGUUUUCUCGCUCUGGAGAGGUCUGCCAGUAGGAGUUUGAAGAGGAACAUUCUUUAUGUAUUAUGGAUGUUUUCUUCGUUGAAGAUACUGUACAUUAAAAUUUCCUCAAAACUCAAAGUGAACAUUUGUUCAAAAGUACUAUCAACUAGGAUGAGUUUUUUAAAUUUAUUUUCUUCUGAAUUUAAAGUUUUAUGUAAUACUUUUCUAAUCCUACAUAACAUCUUGCUUGUUCACUGGCAUUUUCAACUUUGAGUAAUAGUUGUUAUGGGUAUGUUGUACCUGUAGUUAUUAUAGGUACAUUGGUAAAUAUUUGCGUUUUGGGUUUAAAGACAAUUCUAUAAGUUGUCUGACAGUUGUCUUUCUGACAAUUGUCUUUUCAGAGCUAAAUUGAAACUUAAUUAAGUAUGGGAUGUGAUAUCCAAAUUCUCCUCUAUAUACUGUCACCUAGUCUCAUAAGGUAGAAGUUUUAAGGUAAUAGGGGUACCAAGUUAUAAAUGACUAUUUCUUUUGUAGACAGAAGGCUCAGUUUUCUGUGUUCACUGCAUCUGGUCUCUCUUCUCCAAUUCUCUUCAUUUCAGUAGAGUUUUUACCUCACUGCUUCAUUCAGACUUCUCUUAUGAUCACAAGGAACUUUGCUAGUGACAAGAGUCACUUCUCAGCCUUUAUCUCCCCUCACCUGUCAAUGGCAUUCCCCAUUAUUGACAACACCUCUUCUUUUACACAUUUUCUUCAAUUGGCUUAUGGGUCUUCAUCCCAACAAGCUUCCUCCCACCUCACUGCUUACUCCUUGCUUUUUUUCUCUUCUUUCCUUACACUCAAUCCCAUGGUAAAUAUCACCCAGUCCUGUUCUAGUCAUCAUCUCCAUGCCACAGUUGUCAGGUUUAUAUUUCUAGGUCAGAUCUGUCCCCUAAACAUAAGACUCAACACCUUCAUUUGAAUAUCUGAUAGAUAUCACAUAUGUAAUCUGUUCAAAACUAAAUUCAUCUUUCUACCAAAACAUCAUCUAUAGCUUGCAGUUGCAUCAACAGUAUCCUUUUAGUUGCUCAAGUCAAAAAACUGGGUGUCAUCCUGGACUCUGUUCUUAUAUUCAUAUGCAAUUAUCAGGAAAUGUUGUUAACUCUGCCUUAAAUGUUGUUAAUUCUGAAUAUUUCAGAAUUCCUUUGCCUCUUAGCAUAUCUACCACUGUCAUCCUGGUCAGAGAUAAUCAUCAUUUGUUGACUGAAUUAUUGCAGUAGCCACUUAAUUAGUCUCCCUGCUUCUUUACUUGCCCCUCCCCUCAUUUUUCAAUCUCAGUAGAGUGAUUCUUUGUCAGUCAAUUCAUGCUACUCCUGUCUCUGUUUAAAAUCCUCCAUUGACUUCCAGUGUCACCCAAAAUAAAAGCAAGUAUUCUUAUAAGGCCUAUAAGGCCCUUCAUAAACUGGCAAUCCUAUACUUCUUGGACUUCACCUCCCCCUCCUUUACACUGUUCUAACCACAGUGACCCCUUGCUUUUCAUCAAACACACCAAGACUAUUCUUACUUUAAGGGCUUCUCAUUGUUCUACUUCCUGGGAUUUCCUGGAACUGCAUGGCUAACUCCCCAGUCUUUGUUUUUGCUUAAGGAGUUCCCUGGUGCUCAGUGAGUUAAGGAUCCUGCCUUGACACUGCUGUGGCAUAGAUUUGAUCCCUGGCCCCGGAACUUCCUCGUCAUGGCGCAGCACCCUCUCCCCCCAAAACAGUUUUUGCUUAAUAUCAAUGAAGUCUACUCUGUCCACCCUAUAGAAAAUUGUAAUUCAUACCCAACACUACCAAUUCCUAUUACCAUGUUUGACUUUUUCUUUUUUCAAAAACAUGUAUUACCAAUAACAUAGAUAAUUUACUUAUUUAUUAUAUUUGUUGUUUACCCUAGAGAGACACUAGAAUGUAAAUUUUACAAGGGCAGCAAUCUCUAUUUUGUUAUGUAGCCCAAGGACCUAGAAUGUUGUCUGGGAUAUGGUAGUAGCUAGUAAAUAUUUAUGGAAUGAGUAAUAAUGAUAAUAAUGUUUAGUUUAAUCCUCAGUAUACCGUCAGGUUCAUUAGAUCCAACUUUAGAUUUCUUUUGUAAGCAUUUCUAACUAGUUCUUGGAAUUUAUAUUUCAUGACUUUUAUUCUUUCUUAGAAAUCUUCCAAAGAACUCAGAGAAAAUUUACUUAAUAGAAUAAAACUCAUUGUAUCUCAGAAUUACUAUACGGGUCCAUUAAAUCCUUUUAUAAAUCUAAGAUAUAUCAUGGGAUCUUAGUGAUCUUAUUUUUACCAUAUCUUAAAACAUUUUACUAUUUCAUCAUCCUAAGAAUAAUUUUAUCAUUACUCAUCAAUUAUUCUAACUUCACUAAAAAA
rnacentral:lncRNA from 1 species